rnacentral:rRNA from 1 species
GAUGAACGCUGGCGGCGUGCUUAACACAUGCAAGUCGAACGAAGCACUUUAUUUGAUUUCCUUCGGGACUGAUUAUUUUGUGACUGAGUGGCGGACGGGUGAGUAACGCGUGGGUAACCUGCCUUGUACAGGGGGAUAACAGUUGGAAACGGCUGCUAAUACCGCAUAAGCGCACAGCAUCGCAUGAUGCAGUGUGAAAAACUCCGGUGGUAUAAGAUGGACCCGCGUUGGAUUAGCUAGUUGGUGAGGUAACGGCCCACCAAGGCGACGAUCCAUAGCCGACCUGAGAGGGUGACCGGCCACAUUGGGACUGAGACACGGCCCAAACUCCUACGGGAGGCAGCAGUGGGGAAUAUUGCACAAUGGGCGAAAGCCUGAUGCAGCGACGCCGCGUGAGCGAAGAAGUAUUUCGGUAUGUAAAGCUCUAUCAGCAGGGAAG